rnacentral:rRNA from 1 species
CCUACGGGAGGCAGCAGUAAGGAAUAUUGGGCAAUGGACGAGAGUCUGACCCAGCCAUGCCGCGUGAAGGAUGAAGGUCCUCAGGAUUGUAAACUUCUUUUAUCUGGGACGAAAAAAGGCUAUUAUUAGUCACUUGACGGUACCAGAGGAAUAAGCACCGGCUAACUCCGUGCCAGCAGCCGCGGUAAU